AUUUCUGAUCAAACUAACGAAAUUAUUGAAUGAACUAUAAUUUAGUGCCCAAGAUUUUCCUGCUCCAGUGCAAUUUUCGCGUCUCUGGCCUUUUUCCAUUCCCAGUCCAUAUUUAUUUCCCUAGCCAGUGAUUAUUAUUUCAUUUGGCUGCUGCUUUGGGCCCUGUGCAAAAUUCGCUGCCUUUCAUAAUUCUGGCGACUUGUUUGUUUGAAUUGUGUGCAAUGCUGUGUUUCGAUGUGGUGGGUGGCUGGAUUGGAUUUGCUGGCAUGUGGGGCAGAUUGCCAUGUUGCUGGCGGAGCGUUAAACGCGCCAAAUUGAUUAGCAUUUAAAUUGCCUGCGAAAUGUGUGGCACAAGGAGCACUGCAAUAGCAAAGCAACAGCAGGAGCGGCAGCCCCAAAAAUUAAGCCAUAAAGCUGAAAGCGGACCAUGAACGGUGCGCUCCUCUGUCGUUUGGCUAGCUCCGUCUGCUUCGCCACCCACCACCUUCCUGCUUUUUCGCAUUCGGAUUCCCAUGGCAGCAAUGAAUUGCAAAUAACGCAUUGACCGCACUGCACCUUUGCCGCCACCUUUUGCGGACAAUUCUGGGUGAACCUCAAUCCCAUUCCAGAUCCAGGUGCAUAUGUAUACUCGUACAUGGAUGUAUGUGCGAUAUCUGUCCAACUUUUGCCCGACUGCCGGCAAGCGUUGCAUGUUGCUGGCACAACAGCAACAUAAAUGGCAGCAGCAACAUUCGUUGCGUUUACCGCCAAAAGCAGAAACCU
ensembl:ncRNA lncRNA:CR44396 long non-coding RNA:CR44396